rnacentral:rRNA from 1 species
AGAGUUUGAUCCUGGCUCAGAGUGAACGGUGGCGGCAUGGUUAAGACAUGCAAGUCGAACGAGAAGCAGGACUUCGGUCCUGUGGACAGUGCGAACGGGUGCGUAACACGUGAGCAACCUGCCCCUAAGUACGGAAUAGCCCACCGAAAGGUGGAUUAAUACCGCAUGUGACCCUUUAUCGCAUGGUAGAGUGGUUAAAGCUUGUAAUGGCGCUUAGGGAUGGGCUCGCGGCCUAUCAGCUUGUUGGUGAGGUAACGGCUCACCAAGGCUAAGACGGGUAGCUGGUCUGAGAGGAUGAUCAGCCACACCGGGACUGAGACACGGCCCGGACACCUACGGGUGGCAGCAGUUUCGAAUCAUUCACAAUGGGCGAAAGCCUGAUGAUGCAAUGCCGCGUGGAGGAUGACGGCCCUAGGGUUGUAAACUCCUGUCAUUAGGGAACAACAAGUAGGUUCAUAGCCUACCCUGAGUUAACCUAAAGAGGAAGAGGUGGCUAACUCCGUGCCAGCAGCCGCGGUAAUACGGAGACCUCGAGCGUUACUCGGAUUUACUGGGCGUAAAGGGUGAGCAGGCGGCCAGGUGUGUUAGGUGUGAAAUCCCGGGGCUCAACCCCGGAACUGCGCCUAAAACUACCUGGCUAGAGUAUCGGAGAGGACAGUGGAAUUCCAGGUGUAGCGGUGAAAUGCGUAGAUAUCUGGAGGAACACCAGUGGCGAAGGCGACUGUCUGGACGAUUACUGACGCUCAAUCACGAAAGCGUGGGUAGCGAAAGGGAUUAGAUACCCCUGUAGUCCACGCCGUAAACGUUGUGCACUAAGUUUCGGAGGAUUCGACCCCUUCGGAGCUCAAGCUAACGCGUCAAGUGCACCGCCUGAGGACUACGGCCGCAAGGCUAAAACUCAAAGGAAUUGACGG